GAAAGUAGGAAAGGGCGUAUGGCGGAUGCCUAGGCUCUUACAGGCGAUGAAGGACGUGAUAAGCUGCGAAAAGCCGCGGUGAGGUGCAAAUGACCCUUGACCCGCGGAUCUCCGAAUGGGACAACCCGUCUGGUUGAAGACCAGUCACCCGCAUAGCGGGGGCCAACCCGGGGAACUGAAACAUCUUAGUACCCGGAGGAAAAGAAAACAAAUUAGUGAUUCCCCAAGUAGUGGCGAGCGAACGGGGAGGAGCCCAAACCCGUGAGGUUCCGGCCUCACGGGGGUAGUAGGACCACGCCGUUGCAAGAAGUAUCGUGAGUGGAAGGUUCUGGAAAGUUCCUCCAUAGAGCGUGAAAGACGCGUACACGAAGCGAUAUGAAGCAUAGUGGUAUCCUGAGUAGCGCGGGGCACGAGGAAUCCUGCGUGAAUCCGCCGGGACCAUCCGGCAAGGCUAAAUACUCGUAAGAGACCGAUAGCGAACCAGUACCGUGAGGGAAAGGUGAAAAGAACCCCGAACAGGGGAGUGCAACAGACCCUGAAACCAUACGCCUACAAGCGGUCGGAGCUGCCUAUGGCAGUGACGGCGUGCCUUUUGCAUAAUGAACCUACGAGUUACCGUAGCGCGGCAAGGUUAAGUGCCAUGAGGCACGCAGCCGUAGCGAAAGCGAGUCUGAACAGGGCGUUUGGAGUCGCCUGCGGUAGACGCGAAACCGAGUGAUCUACACAUGGUCAGGGUGAAGUCCCGGUAACACGGUAUGGAGGCCCGCACCAAUAAGCGUUGAAAAGCUUCUGGAUGAACUGUGUGUAGGAGUGAAAGGCCAAUCAAACUCGGAGAUAGCUCGUACUCCCCGAAAGGCAUUUAGGUGCCGCCUGGGUUGUUUCUGAUGUGAGGUAGAGCGACUGAUUGGAUGCGAGGGCUUCACCGCCUAUCAAGUCCAGACAAACUCCGAAUGCUCAUCAGUUAAGACCCGGAGUAAGGGCGCGGGUGCUAAGGUCCACGCCCGAGAGGAGAAGAAUCCAGACCGCCGGCUAAGGCCCCGAAAUACAGGUUAAGUUAGACUAACGAAGUCCGGUUCCCAUGACAGCCAGGAUGUUGGCUUGGAAGCAGCCAUUCAUUCAAAGAGUGCGUAACAGCUCACUGGUCGAGGGACUGGGCGUGGAUAAUAAUCGGGUAUUAAACCUGUUGCCGAAGCCGCGGGAUACGUAAGUAUCGGUAGGGGAGCAUUCCAAGUGCGUCGAAGGCGAUGGACGACCAUCUCUGGAGCGCUUGGAAAAGCAAAUGUAGGUAUAAGUAACGAUAAAGGGGGUGAGAUGCCCCCUCGCCGAAAGGUCAAGGUUUCCUGAACAACGUUAAUCGGUUCAGGGUUAGUCGGGUCCUAAGGAUAAGCCGAAGGGCGAGGCCGAUGGACGAAACGGUUAAUAUUCCGUUACUGACUGUGCGCGCGAUGCGGCGACGGAGAAGUGACACGGCCGCCUCCUGACGGAAUAGGAGGUUGAAGGGCGUAGGCUAUGAGGAAGGCAGGCAAAUCCACCUUCCGAGCUGAAACCUGAGAGUAUGCAGCGGACCCCGGUCCAAUGCAACAGUGCCGGUAAUCCGGCUCCCGAGAAAACCCGCUAAGCAGCAACGCACAGCCACCCGUACUGUAAACGGACACACGUGACCGGGUUGAGUAUACUAAGGCGCUUGGGAGAGUCAUGGCUAAGGAAUUAGGCAAACUGACCCCGUAACUUCGGGAAAAGGGGUCCUCACGUGAGUGAGGCGCAGAGAAUAGGUCCAGGCAACUGUUUACCAAAAACACAGGGCUGUGCUAAGUCGAAAGACCCGGUAUACAGCCUGACACCUGCCCGGUGCUGGAAGGUUAAGAGGAGUGCUCAGAGCUUCGGCUCGAAGGUAUGAAUUGAAGCCCCAGUAAACGGCGGCCGUAACUAUAACGGUCCUAAGGUAGCGAAAUUCCUUGUCGGG
rnacentral:rRNA from 1 species